GGACAGGGAGGAAAAGCAAACACUUAUAGAGAGGUGGCCUCCCCGGUCAGGCUAGAGCAGGACCGUCCUGCGGACCCUGUGGGAGGGAGAAGGCUGUGUCGAGAACAAGCGACAAACCGUCCGCACAAACAGAACACGUUUCCAUGGAGGGGAAAACAGAUCUAUAUAUGUGUUUCCGCACUGUCAGGUUGGCUUUAAAACGCUACCUCCGGGCUGUGUGGCGCUGGGAGCCAUGGCAGACCCUCUGCUCCGUCCCUGCAAGGCGUGCAGUGACCGGCCAGACCGGCUGGGAACGCCUGGCCCUCGCUCCUGCCACGACUGCAGCCGCCUGCCUGGUUUACAAUGGCUCCAAACAAUGAUCUGCUGGUAAACUGGGAAGAAGCAGUGACGUUUCUCUUAGCUAAACACCAUUAAAGUGCUCCUCUGCUGUUUCUCAAUAGAGGUGAAAAGCAUUUUAGCUUCCUGGAAAUGGCCGAAACAGGCGACGUGUGGAUCUGUUCUUGGUUUUGCAGGGGGUUUGAACUGGAGCAAAACCUGGUUUCUGCAGCUUGCAUCGCAGUGAGUUAAGUCAGCACGUGAAGUCAUUAAAAAGCAGAUUUAAACAGCAGCAUCAGCUAUUAACUUGCCUGGGAUUUAAAACUGAUGUUUAAAUAGAUAUUUGGAUAUUAGUAAUAAUCUUUUAAACCUUAACGUUGGUCUGUUUAACCCUGAAGCAAACUAGCUCUGCCUAACGCAGGCUUUGAACCGAUUCAGCCAGCCCAUAAUACUGUGGGAGCUCAGACAGCUUUGUCUGUACUUGCACCUCUCUGCGCAUUUUUCCAGGACUAUGAUCUUUGUCUGCAAUUAAUCAUUGUUCAGGACGGCCGUUCCCGAUGGUGGAAUCCAUGAACUCCUCCAGCUGGGAGAGGUCCUGACGCCGCGUACGUGCAGACCAGGGCCAGCAAUGGCUGGGGCAGCAGGCGUCGUGCAGCGAGCGCGCCGUGCGGACCCAGUGAGUUGUGUGGGUCCUCAGCAUGUCUGGAAAUGGGGUUUGUAAGUCUGAGCUGAAAAUUUCUUUCCGUUUUUCAGAGUUUCUAAAUGACUGGAACGUUCAGUGUAGUUUAAAAGUCACCGAGGCAGUCGAGACCGGUUGCACUCUUGGAGUGGGUGGUUUCAUGGCUGAACCUUGUAUCUGAAAAGCUGAAUGUUCUGGUACAGCGUGUUUAGGUCCCAGAAAGGUCAAACCAGACUUCCAUACUUGAGUUAGAUUGACCCUGGUUUACUGCGUGAGGCUCUUCGGAAAAAGAGAUCUUUCAGGAGAAGGGGAAAAAAAUAAAAGCAGGGGUUUUUUUCCUCUGAACAGCUUGUGGUGGCUUUACGCACAUUCCUGAAGCAAAGGGGCUUAUUCUUGCCCUUCCCUGCAUUGUUGAGUGCAAAACUCUUUAUGCUAAUUAUUUCAGUGUCUGUUAUCAAUAAGAAGUGAUUUAAUUUCUUUGGCAAAGUGUUGCCACAAGAGCAAAUUAGAUUGAGAGGCAAAGGGAAAUCAAAAAUAUGCAGCUGUUCUGCCAAACAAUGAUCGUGACUGUUUACUGCGUUUUGUUUUAGAGUGGCUUGUACACAGAAUCCUUUAUAGCGAAGGUUUUCAUGUCACAAUCCACUGCUUGUGGAAGGAAACUAGAUUUCUAGAUUAUAAAGGACAAAAGAGACCUAGGUUCAUCUGGUUUGACUUCCUGCAUUAUGCAGGUCAUAAGAUCUUUGUGAGUUUGUUGGUUUUUCUCAGUUGAAAGGAUUUAACUACAGCAUAGCAGCGUCUUAGAAAACCAUCAGACUUUCCUUUUAAAACGGGCUGUGAGAGAGAGUAAAAUAAGAGUAAAUCGUUUCCAUCAAAAGCUGCCUGACAGACUGGAAAUCAAAAUACCUUUCUAAACUUGUUUAGUUUCUGCUUUCAGUUUCUGGAUGUUGCUGUAUCUCAGUCUGCUUGACGGAGGAAUGCUCCGUUGCCAGAUUUCCGUCCCUGUGUAGCCAUGUACGGGCGGAUCAACUGAGCAUUUAACACUCCCCUUGCAGACUUGCAGAGCUCCCCCUCGGGUCCUUCUUCACUGAUCCUGUAAUCCUUCCUAUCACCGUUCCCUUUGAACACUCCGGUUCUUCACUGUUAUGGGCUGGGCAGAAAGGGCCGGAGCGAUCAGCGGUGCCGAUACCAGCACCACCAUCCCCCCUGGCUGGGAUGGCUCUGUUAGGCUUCCAGGGAUUACACAGCCCAUGGUCAGCUGGUUCCCAGCACGGCUCCUAAAAUACUCGCAGAUCUGCUCCUUCUUGGGAUGGCAUCCCCAUACCAUUGGUUUGUGCUCUUUGUUCUGCAUCUAUGGCUUUACACUUGGCCAUCUUGAAAAGGACAAGUCCUCAGACAGCACUAUUGCUUGCAGUGCUCUUUUUAUUUUGUAAAACCCCCUCCUGCUACCGUUGAGUGUCACCUACAGACUUGGUUGGUAAUGGGCUUGUACUUUCUUCCAGGUAAACAGCUGCUUCUGUCUCUGCUCUAGGAGUUCCUGGUUCCGGGUGUGUGUACACCUCAGCUGUGUCAGUGCUGUGUCAGGAGAAGGUUGGGAUGUACACCACGCUCUUGCCACACCCCAGUUUCAUGGGAAGAAUGCCCAGUUUAAGGAGCUGAAAGGGAGCCAGGAAGCACACUGCAGCAUUUGCCUGCCCUCGUGUCUAUAACAUAGCCAUUAAAUAAUGCAGGGCCCAAAACAGGUAGUUACAGGACCCAGAAAAGAAAGGUGACAGCUCUAGGACACAGUGGUUACAACUGUGUUUUGAGACCUCCCUGUUCGAUGGAUUUUAAUCCAUUGGAUUAUGCCGCCUUGAUCUUUCAUUCUCCUACUCCUACUCAUGUAAAUGCAUCACAGAGGUUGAAGCACAGCACAUCAGCCCUCUUGCAGAAAUCUCCUACUAGUGCUACUGCCAUUUACCACCAAACCUUGCAAUUUAAAACAGUUUUUCUCUCAGCAGCUAAAGUCACGAAGCUUUGUCUCCCAUGUGUCCAUAAAUGUCCUCUGACAAAUUUUCCAGCUCUUUCCCAGCCCUGCUUGCCCUGUCUGGCAGAGCGAGGGGUAAUGUUCCAGCGGGGAGCUCCACUGGGCCCAGCCAGGCAGCGCUGCCCCUGGGUAUGGGCAGGGGCUGAGCCUUUUCCCAAAGCCAGGGUGGAGGCUCUACUCGUACUCUACUCAGCUGUUCAUUCAAUACCUAGAUACAUUUUGGACUUCUUCCUCACUGCCAGAUUUGAUUGAGGUUGGAGGAAGGAGCAUAAAAAAAUCACAUAGAACAACACAGUCACAUUAGACUAUUUUUAGGAAACCAGGCUAAGAAUAUCGGGGAAUAUUGAGUAGGAAUAUGGACAGGGUAUUUGCCUGUUCAGGGUUGGUUUUUUUUUGCCAUUAAAUUUUUCAUUUCUUCCUAAGAACAGCAGAUGAUCUGUCUGGGGAAUUUCUCAGCCAAAAUAAGCAACCUCCUGACAGGUUUCACCUGUGUCCCAGGAUGCUCCGAGGAUGCUUGGGAUGUAAGUAAGCAUCGAACAGUGACAGGGAAUCACUAGUCUGCUGUGGUGUUUGGCUGCCUUGAUGCAGAGAUGUUUGGUGAUAUCCAGUAGUGGAACAAACGUUUUGUUUAAGAUCCAUACAAAUUUUGAUGGACACGUUGGAUAUUUGCCAGGGCUGGGGCUUUUUUAGGCUUCUUUUUAAACUGUAGCUGUUCAUUUUAUUUUAGUGCUAUGACAAAGCCACUUCUGUAAGAUAGGUAGCGAGAGCUUUCAGAGAUCUAAUCAUUCUGGCGCUAUAAAGGAAUAAAGAAGCUGUUUCAACACCUGACUUGGAGAAUGUUUUGUGUUGCUUUUUGCCUAUUGAAAUGCAGCUGCUACUGAAACACGAUGAUCUCCUCAGAAUGUACAACGGGUUAUUUUGUAGAAUACUUUCAAGCUCAUGAAACUAAUGGCAUAAAUCAAGAAGGUUGGCAGUUGUAAUCAACAUUCUAAAGCCAUCCAAUUCCUAAACAGUUCAGUGCCUCCUGGCCUAACCAGUCCAGUUUUACCAAAAGGAAUGAAAAGAAUGUUCCAUUUGAAGAAUUCGAGCACUCACAGAGCUUGUAUCAAAAGGAGAUGAAGACAGAGGUCCAAGAUUGAGUCCUAAAAGGAAAACCGAGGUGCCCACUCAGAUCUACGGUGGAAAGGGUUUGGUAUAGAUUCUAUGUGUGUGUACUUCAAGCCAAGAAGAAGUUGACAAAUACACAGCCAUAUGUAUAGAAGAUUUUUGCCUAAGGUGCUAUAUUUGUUUCCUGCUUCCAUUUGUCUGAAGUCCUGUAUCUUUGAGCAGGCACUGUCUAUGCUAUUGUUAGACUCCUAAGACUUAAAUAUGUAAAGAUAUAUUAAAGAUAUAUCUUAAAAGAUACAGAGGCACUGACAUAUUACAAGUAGAGUCAGCUGCCUUUUACACAGGAGCAUUUUUAACAUUGUGAGAGAUGUAAGUUUAAUUAGAAUGGUUUUAACCAGGAAGUCUCCCCACCUUAAGAAAUCAGAGCUACUAUGUUAAUCCCAGUAAGCAACUGGGAACUUGACAGCGUUCCUGUUGUUACAAUGAGAGUCAGGAAGGGUGGAAUGUGUGUAGGAAGGGAGAAACGCACAGGAAACAUGCCAUCAAGGACAGCGGUGUCGAGCGCCACAGGCAGCGCGCCAGCCUGUGUUUGGUGAUGGCCCGUGGGCUGCAGCAGUGCUGGGAGGUUGCUGCCCUCUACGUGCCUGUGCACACCAGAUCACCCCACCACAAUUGCUCAAGCACCUUCCCAACCCGCUCUGACAGCUCGCAACAAGGGCCUGCAGCCAGGCUGCUCUGCACCAACCACCCAUCCAGCUCUCACAAGCGCAGCACAGGCCAAAAAUCACAGCUCUAAAGCAAACGUCACAAUUACAACUGGGUUUAUUGGCAGUUAUUAAUUAUCCUGCUCUGAGAAUCGCUGUUUCUUUGCAGGGUUUGCUCUGGAUGGGUUAAUGGCUACUCUCAGGUCUGAGAUAGACUCAGUCUGCGCCUGUCCUUUGUCUAGCGAUGCUCUGACAAGCCACAGACCUCUCUGGCUCCUGCCAAACCUCCAUCCCUAUGGAUGAGUUUCUUCCCAGCCAGACAACGACAGAGAGAGUGCUUCCAACUUAGCCCUCCCUGUACAUCCAGCACUCCACAAGAAACAAGCAUAAAUUACAGUGUCUCUCAUAGGCAUAUAAACAGAGGCUUUUAUCUUCUCUUCCGUCUGUAGGAAGUUUGCACAAAUAUCAGAUGGGAAGACACAAACUUCACACAUUAACUGCUCUUUAACGUUGGUGCCAUACAUCACUCAGCAAAAGCCUGCCCCUACUUCAUCCACAGCCCUUUCUCCUACAGCCUAUUUUACUCCUUUUUUUCUCCUCCUGUGAAUAUUCCCAGUUUUUCCAUGCUCUUGUUCAAAAGGUUUGAGAGCUUCCUGGGUCAGUUGCAAGAGUGAUGGCUAUUGCACAGCCAAUGCAGCAGUGAAGUGUUGAUCAAAGCCUGACUCUUUUAAUGGCUCUGAAACACACGUGCUUAUACAGGCUGCAUUGUAGCUCACACAGUGGAAAGCAUAUUUAGCAAGCCAAACCUGGGAUCAUUUAAACCUGAGGUUCUCAAAAGCCUCCCAAAACCAUACAGCUCCACACAUUUCAGGUUUAGUGGAAUCUACCAACCCAUUUUCGUGGAGCAUAACCCAGAUUUGGCCAUCCACAGUGGACUCACCUACUCCACACUUGUCCCUGCUGCAUAAACUAAAGAAGCUGCAUGUAGCUCCUGCUCUGCUGCUUUGGUCAUCUUCAUUAACAUACACUCCUGCUGGUUUCAGUCCUCCCUUGACUCUAAACCACACGUACCGGAAAACAAAAUCUCUCUCUCUACCAGGAAUUACCUUCUUUGGGAAUGGGAGAAGAAGGGAAAAGUAACCUGAAGAAAGCAGAUACUGCAAAGCAUGCUCUGAUUUUGGAAAAAAACCUAACAUCUCUGUGCUUGCUGAGUCAGGUGGACUGCUGGGUAAUGAAAACACAGGAAAGCAUAAGCCAGGGGGAUAUUAGGGAUGUAUACUAAAGCAAUGGGUAAAAAUGCAUUAUACUGCAAGGAAAGCUGUUUACAGCCCCUUUCCCUAUGUUUCCCAAAAUUACUUCCUGAUGGGAUUUAUUCUCUGCUGCGGAUCUGGAUGCAGAAGAGCAUCUGGGGCUGAUUAAUUUCACGCAGAUCUGUAGCAGAGCCCUGUGCUCACACUCAGCCACGAGCAAGCCCGUGCAUCGCUCCUGAACCCACUGCUUCUGACUGUUCCCAUGGUAAAAGCAAGCACAGCUCCCAACGCCAACACAGCCUGCAGAGCUCGCCUGAAACAAGGCAGUUUGAAUCCCCCUCACUUCUCAGCACAGAGGUGGAGGAUGAGAUCCAGCAUCACUGUGAUAGCUCUGCCAGCCUGUGUUGACAAAUUCCUCCCCAUCACUCAGUGAAGCUGUGCCAGCACAUCUGGGAGACACACACAUCGCCCAGAUCCGUGGGGGCAGAGUUAUGGUGCCGUUGGCAGACACUUGCUUGUUCAUUUCAUGCUUUUCAGAGAUCAGUCAUUGUGUUUGAUGUUCCAGAAAAACACAGGAUCGUUGGCUCAUCUUAACCUUGUGCUAGCUAUCUUUUACAACAGAACUUGGCUUCAGAAUUCACACUUCAAUGAGGAACAGCAGCUUGAAACUGCCCCAUAGCCUCUACUGUAUCAGGCUAAGAUGCUACCAUGUUGAUUUACACACUCUUCACGUUUGUAAAGCAGGUUUUUUCCCCACCACGACUGUUGUUUCAUUAGAAACAACUCAGUUUCUAAUGAAAGGUGAGAUUCAAAAUACAGCACGCUGGCCACACAUGUAUCAGGUAGGCCAUAUUUGGCCCACAUAGUUGGCACCCUGAUUUAAAACCUACCAGAGAAAAUAACCCAAGAAACAGUAUGUGUUCCCUGUAAAUAGCUGCUCUCUUGGUAGUUGGUGUGUGGUUUAUGAACAAAAUCUGUCCAAACUGCAUCAGAGUGCCUGAUUUUGCUGAGUUGUGUGUCUAAUUUGGCUAACACCUUUGCUGCACACCAUUGUCCUGUUUUCUUUCAUAGCCUUCUGAACCCACUGUUAGCAUUGGGACAGGUUUUAUGUAGAGUUUAUUGAAAGAUUUUUGCACUUAUUUAGUGCAUGGGCCGUUUGAGCCAAGUGAAACAGGAACUAUAUUCCUAAGGCAUGAAAAGGCAGAAAGGAAAUUUUCUUCUUGAAAUAUAGUUUUUUCCACAUUACUUAAUAGUCUAGAAAGUUAAUACCUUUCUGGCAGCAGUUCCCACUGGGAGUAAAAAAUAUGGUUCCUACUCAGCCAAACAACAAUGUCAUAAUGUUUUAGGUUGGGUUAAACGUCUCAGAAACUGGCAGGUGUCACAGCCACCUUGCCUUCAGUGAAAAAGGCAAUUGAGAGAGCCCUUAUGAAACAAGGGAUUUACAUCAGUCAGGGCUACUACACAAAAAGCAGGCACAUGGCAACGUUUGAAUAGAUGGUGAAUCAUGUGGCCCAGGGGAUUUUUCAGGGUGGGGGCGUGUGUGUAGAAUAUCAGGCCAUGAGGACCAGAUGGUAGAGCUCUGCAUGUGCAAGAGAAACAGCAAGAAACACUACAGCAAUGGAUACUGAGAAGCAGCUGAAAGUCAAGGGGACUGGGAGCUUUGAUUUGGGGAAAAAAGCUAUUUCUAGUGUUGAGUGAAGGCCAAAGGAGCGUUGGCACUGUGAGCAAAACACAACUGAAAAGACAAUUUUGUACAGCUGUUCUGUAAACAAAUUGAAUUACCUUGAAAAUAUGCCUUUGAGCUUUGUCACAGGCUGCUCCUCUUACACUGUCACUCACAACUUCUGUGUGUGUGCAAGGCCAGUUCAGCUCUCCCACAUGGCAGUUUCCCCUUCUCUGUCUGCCCUGUCUGUUCACACUAAAUGCUGUGGGGCGGAAGAUGUUCUUCAGUAGGGCCUGUGCACAUGACAAACAAUUGUUGCCCUUGUGUAACAUCCCAAAUUUAUCAGAAAAUCACUCUACUUACAUGAUAACUCCCAUUCUUUAGAGCCUGUCUUUCCUAUUGUGAACUCGUCAGGGCAUCAUCUCUUGCUCUGUAUGUACAUGCUGCAGUGGGAAUUCCUGGCUGAAAACACAAAUAAUUAACUUCAGUGGUAAUGUUAAAAAUGGAGAUUUAAGGCUUUGUCUUGUUAUGCA